GACACAAAGAGAAAAGCAAGGAGAGUGAGGGAGGAGUGUAGAAAGAGGGAAAGAGAAAAGGCAAAGAAUGAGGGUCAUCAAUGCAGAGAGAAAGGAGGUGAUAAGUGAAAGAGAAAACAAGGAGGAGAAAAUAGGGUUUGGGGUAACAGUCACAAAGAAAGAGUGAGAGUGAAAGAAUAGAGAGAAAGAGAGAGAAAAGAGGGAUUGGGUUUGAGCCAGAGGGAAAAGAGUUGAGAGAGGGAGUGGUGAUAGAAUUGGGAGGCAGGGAGCAGUGACGGAGAAAAGACAGAAAAAAGAACAGUAAGAAAAGAGGAGAGAAAGAGGGUCAGGAAGGAGAUAGAGAGAUAAAGAAAAUGAGCGAGAAAAGAAAGAGAACAUGGAUGCAAAGAUGGAAAGAGGACGAAAUUGAUGAAAGAAGAAGAAGGAAUGGAUGGAGUGAGGUGCAAAGAGAGGUCAAGGCACAGCAGUGUGUGACGUUGUUUCUCCCAGUCGGAGGAAGCAGCUGAGAGUUUCUUCGUUGAGCCGUGUCCGUAGAGCCGUCUCUGAGCCUCUGCCUUUUGCUGGGCCAGGUUGCGUUUCUUAUCGCUGGCCCUGGGUCAACAUAAAGCUCCCCCCUGGCUCUCUGACUGCAUAAAAAGAUGGGCUGUGGGCUGGAGUUUGAUGGUAGGCAGAUCAGAAUGGCCAACCACACAAACACCACAGCGGACUAUUCCCAGAGGGACAAAGACCACAAAAUCACACGAAAGCCAGAAACAGCAUCAGUUGCAUGCAGUAGCUCUCAUAGUGCAUGUGUGUUAAUAGUGCGGGCAAACACACAUAGAGUACCAAACGCCACACACAAUGACACAGUACAAAUCAAAUUCAGAUUCAGACACACUAACUCACACUCAUUCACACACACACAACACACACACACACACACACACACACACACACACACACACACACUCACGUGCGCAUUCUCACACGCUGACUGUGGUCCUAACAAGCAGGCCGACCAGCCUUUGAGCUGCCUGGAGCCCGGCACUAGAGAGAGCUUUGCGCGGACCAGGCAGGUUUCUAAUUAUUCGUGCUCACUACAAACACUUGUUUCUUCUUAGUUAGAGUUGACCAGCUGGAGCUUUGUUUUCUGCUGCGUGUGGGGGAACAACUGAAAAAAAAAAAAGCGAAAUUAAAAAAAAAAAAAAAGAAGAGAGCCAGAGACUAUAAUGAGACUGGGCUUCAAUCCACCUAUCUUUGUGUCGGGCUACGAGGACACCCAUCAGGACCUCAUGAGAACGAUCUUUGUCGGGUUCUGUUUCAGAUAGAAAGGAUGGAGCAUCUAAAGUAGAAAUGUAUAUAUGUACUGUAUAUUAUAUUCCUCUUGUCCUUGACCAUCACUCACCAAACAUUUAGUAAUAUUUUUUUCCAUUUUCCUCACUCCAUUUGACAUAAUUUGUCAUGAUGGCUUACACCACAUGGGCCCUGGAUAAACUUGGGGGUGGGGGGGUGUGUGAUAAUGCUGUACCAUUGCUAUAUUUUACCAUUGAGUAAAUGACUCACACUGAUUUGGACCCACGCACCCCAAUUUUAAGACAGCACCCCGUGUUAGAGGAAUUUAGAAUAAAUCUAUCUUUGUCAUGAGGCAGUUCUUCAACUAAACUGAAUAUAUGUCCAUUUCUGUAGCAGCCAUGUUUUCCUUUGCAUUUUUGUUUUGCUUUUAUUUUGCCUUCAAAAGAUAAAGAAAACACUCAAUGAAGCCCUCAAAGAAAAAGCCUUGGAACUGACAAUACAAACCAAAGUCUAAGCAGAGUGUGUGAACGUGUGCUGGUGUACGUGUGUGACUGUGUGUGCACUUGAGUGUGUGUCUGUGUGGAGUGAAGAUCACGGCUCAAUGAAACGCCUCUCCUAUACGAGACACAGAUGCUGUCUGGGCUGGUUUAAUGAAAGUGAACGUCUCCGGUUACGCCAUUUGAGCAAGUGUGUGUGAGUGUGUGCGUGCAUGUGUAUGUGUAUGUGUGUUUGCACCAAUGUCGUGCUGAUGUUUUGAAUGUCAAUAGGAGGUAAAACUUGUGUUGAAAACCCAGCCGAAUUAAGAUAAGGAUCACACAAAAGCCUGUCUCUCUCUUUCUACCUUUUCUUCUCCGUUUUCAACACUUACUCUGAGCAGAAUGUGCCUGUUUGAUGCCUGGCCUUGGUUUGAGAAGCAUCACUCUUGCCUUCUCUGUUUUCACCCCAGCGACAAGUGCUGUUCUGUGGGCUCCUCUUGAGUUUUUGUAUCCGUUAUCAGUAUUUUUGCAAUAAUUUCUCUUUGUGCUCUAUUGCUUACAAAGAGCCAGUGUAUUGCAUCUUCCCCAGAGGUUUUCUUGCAAUGGCAAGACAGAGGCAAACAUGUCCUCUAAUCACAGGAGUUUGGAGUUGCGCAAUUUUGAAUACCUUGUCCACAAAAAAAAAAAAAAAAAACAGUGGCUAUUUUCUGGAGUUGUAAUUGGAGGAUGUGAGAGGCAAUCAUGUUCUUUUUUCCUCCCCAGCCUGCUACACACAGAGACAAAAAUACAAAAACAAAGGGCAGGACUAAUGUCAUUUGACAGUUUCUUAUAUAUGAUACCAUCGAGCUUUCAGGUACCUGACUGGCUUUGAGUUUACACAGGUUGAACUUUCAUUUCCUGGCUGCGAGUUUGCAUGUCCAACAACCAACUUUGACGUUUUAAAGAGUAAGAGAUGAAGACGUUGUCGGAACAGCAGUCUGGGUAAAGCCCCAACGAGGCGUGGCACACAUAAUUCACAGUGACACCAAUAAGGAAACCUGAGAGGUGAAGUCCACAAAUUCAAAACAAACCUGUAAGACCUAGACUGUGUUUCAAUUCCUGACACAAUUUUUACUGUUUUGGUACUCAGGGGGGUGACAGAAAUGAAAAAUAAAAAAUGGUGAAAUGUGGUGAAAUAGAUUCAAUUUACCCCCAAAAUGUUGCAAAGUGAUCUGCUGAAAAAUUUAAUUUGGACCUGAGGGCUUGCCAUAGGGUACAGUUUGUGGCAACCAGCCGAUGGGCCCGGCUGCGCCUUGCGUCCCAGCUGAAUAGGAAUGAACGUUGACACGCUAAAAAGUGGUAAUAAAGUUAUUUUCAGGCUUGACAGCGUACGCAGUGAGGAUUUCAGAAGGGGUCUCUAUGCUUGCAACUAUCCCCUGACUAAUCAGUUGAAUUUUGGAAAUAAAUGAUUGUUGCUGUAAAUGUUGCGUGAAAGAGAAGCACGGCUGUGUGUGUGUGUGUGUGUGCGUGGGAUGUUAAUUGAUGAGAGUUAUAGAGAGCUGCUAGUAGCACAGGGGGGAUCAUUACUACUGGAGUGGAACAACUGCAUUCACGGCUGUUUGCCAUGUCUCAUACACAUUUACACACACACACACACACACAAAGUGCACACAUACUGUCACAGUGCACCAGCAGUCAAAAGGAACACCACUUUUGCUCUCUCUUGUACAUCCUUUUGUCAUGCAAGUUCAACUGUUCAACCACACAAAAAGAGUCAGGUAAGGUAAUUAUAUCACCUUAAUUCCAUGAUGACUCUUCUGAAAACACCAAUCGACUAUCAAAUGUCACUCUUUUUUUUUUUCUCCAAAUCAGAGGCUUUUGGAAAUCGCAAGAUUUAUUUUGGGCUGGCAUGAUGGGGAAAAACAAACAAUUAUCCCAGAGGCAUUCCCAUCCUUGAGUCAAUUUGUGGGAAAGGGGGGGUAGAGGCGCACAGCCACUUUGGGUUAAAGGAUUUAGGUCACACUUUAACUGACUGGCUGACAUCAGAACGGUGAGACCGAAAUCCUGGAGUGGAUUCUGGACUCGAAUCCAUCUCCUGAAUGACUGACACCUGAGAGACUGACACAGAGAGAAUGAGAGGCGGAUGUCUUGCUAGUAAACCUGCCGUCCUGACCUAUAUUUUCGUACCCUGCGUCUGUGUGUGUGUGUGCGUGCCUUUGUAUGUGGAGGAGGGGUAUUUGUCUUGUCUUAUAUGCUGUUGUGUAUGCUUGGAUUUCUGUAUGUAUGCGUGGGCAUGUAUGAGUGCACACAUGCAUGUAAUUUUGUGAGCAUGUAUGUGGUUGUGUAUGUUGCUGUCAUUUAACAUGGGAAUGUGUCUCUCCUUGUGUUCGGAGGUGGACAAAUACAUACUUGAGACUACAUGGGUGUUUGUGUGUGUUUCUGUGCACCAGGGACAAGAGUGUGUAAGCACAAUCAGUGUGUGUUUAUGCUUUCUGUCAGUGUGUGGCGACGUCUCCCUCUCUCCUGCUGAUGCCACAUUAUUUCAGUUUAGGAGCCGCUGUCACUUUAGUAGCGGCAUAGACAGGUGAGACUCCACAGACUCCCUCCUCUUUCUGACUGACAAAUUAACACAUACACCCUCAAAUAAAAAUUCUACUGUCAUUUUUCAAUGUGUUUUAAAUUUGAAAAUAUUAUUAUGAUUUACACUGAUAUACUUCAUAAAAAUAAAAUUUGAAAGUUAAUAAAAAUGUAUUUAAAAUCCCAA